rnacentral:lncRNA from 1 species
GGAACCUGGGAUUCGAAUGGCUGGGUGGGAAACGCUCUAGCAGGGACUCUGGCCUGGAGAGAGUUCCUGCUUCCCCCUUUUCAUUAUUUUCACCCAAUAAAACCCUGGGUUACCAUUCAACUCGUCUGCGAGUCUGAAUUUCCGUGGCUGUGGGAAGAACCCUGCCUUUAGCUUGAACUAAGGAAAAGUCCUGCAACGCUUUUGAUGCCCAAUGUGAUACUCAAGAACCAGACCGACCGGUGAGCAGCAGCUCCCCGCCGCUCUCCCCUUCCUGCCAGGGCUGGGAUGCGUCCGCCACUGCUCUCCCCUCCCUGCCGGAGCUGGGAUGCGUCCCUGACUGCUCUCCCCUCCCUGCUGGGGCUGGGAUGCAUAGCCCAAGGGUCCCACACAACCAGCUGGCUGGCUUUUCCGCCUUGCACUACUGGAGCCUUCCCCUUCCCCAGCCAAGGGGCUUUACUCCAUCAGACAGUAAUUAAGCUUUUCUCCUGGUGGAAGAACCAGUUGUAUAAGAAUAAGAGUUCUUCCUCCAGUAUUUUAAACCUUUUUUCUUUCCUCUUCUCCAUCCCGUCAGCAGUUAGCCUUUAAUUUUUUUUUUCCUUUUAGAAGACAUUUUUACGCGGCCAGACCCCACAACUCUCACCGUUCAUAUUUUCUGCAAAGUUUUUAUUGUGAAAUUAAGCCUCCAUCCUGUUUUUUAUCCUGAGGGCAUGGCUUGUAACUCGGAGGCAAGGCUUUGUUUAGCAAUCCUGCCUUAGGGAAUGAACCCUCUCAGGUUGGGUAUCUGCAUGUUUUCCUAGCCCUGUCUCUUAAAGGGCCCCACACAGCAACUGGGUUUUCUUCUGCCUGUUGUGUACUGUGUGUGAUGUCUGUAAAACGAGCUCUAAUUAAUUUGGCCUAAAGAAAGACAAACCCUUGGAUCAAGUACUUUUUUUUUAAAGGAAGUUAAAAGCUGUGGUACCUUUCAGUUCACCUGACUCUAAUCUUUGAGAAAUAAAAACAGCCUUAAAGAUUAUGGGUAAAAUGCAGGGGUCA